UAGGGAAUCUUCGGCAAUGGACGGAAGUCUGACCGAGCAACGCCGCGUGAGUGAAGAAGGUUUUCGGAUCGUAAAACUCUGUUGUUAGAGAAGAACAAGGACGUUAGUAACUGAACGUCCCCUGACGGUAUCUAACCAGAAAGCCACGCCUAACUACGUGCCAGCCGCCGCGGUAAGACGUAGGUGGCAAGCGUUGUCCGGAUUUAUUGGGCGUAAAGCGAGCGCAGGCGGUGUAUUAAGUCUGAUGUGAAAGCCCCCGGCUCAACCGGGGGGUGUCAUUUGAAACUGGGGGAUUUGAGUGCAGAAGAGGAGAGUGGAAUUCCAUGUGUAGCGGUGAAAUGCGUAGAUAUAGGGAGGAACACCAGUGGCGAAGGCGGCUUUCUGGUCUGUAACUGACGCUGAGGCGCGAAAGAGUGGGGAGCGAACAGG
rnacentral:rRNA from 1 species